rnacentral:rRNA from 1 species
AUUGAACGCUGGCGGCAGGCUCAACACAUGCAAGUCGAGCGGAGUUGUGGUGCUUGCACCAUAACUUAGCGGCGGACGGGUGAGUAAUGCUUAGGAAUCUGCCUAUUAGUGGGGGACAACAUUUCGAAAGGAAUGCUAAUACCGCAUACGCCCUACGGAGGAAAGCAGGGGAUCUUCGGACCUUGUGCUAAUAGAUGAGCCUAAGUCGGAUUAGCUAGUUGGUGGGGUAAAGGCCUACCAAGGCGACGAUCUGUAGCGGGUCUGAGAGGAUGAUCCGCCACACUGGGACUGAGACACGGCCCAGACUCCUACGGGAGGCAGCGGUAGGGAAUUUUCGGCAAUGGGGGCAACCCUGACCGAGCAACGCCGCGUGAGUGAUGAAGGCCUUCGGGUUGUAAAGCUCUGUUGUAAAGGAAGAAUGGCAGAGAUAGAAUCUUUGUAUGACGGUACUUUACCAGAAAGCCACGGCUAACUACGUGCCAGCAGCCGCGGUAAUACGUAGGUGGCAAGCGUUAUCCGGAAUUAUUGGGCGUAAAGGGUGCGCAGGCGGCCAUAUAAGUCUGGGGUGAAAGACCGAAGCUCAACUUCGGUUUGCCUUGGAACUGUAUGGCUAGAGUGCAAGAGAGGACAAUGGAAUUCCAUGU